AAAUGCAGGACCUCAGGCCCCACCCUAGACCUCCCGAGUCCGAAUGUGCAUUUUAAUAAGGUCUGCAAGCAGUUUUCAUGCACGUGAACCAUUUCAGAAAGUACUACUCUCAGGGGCUAGAGACUAUAAUAUACAAUUGUUCAUGAGGUCUGAUAUGUAUGUGUUGGGGAAAAUGAAUGUGGACUUGGUCCUGGUGACUGAGCAUUGGAAGGGAAGCUAGACUGUGAACAGAAGGGGGCUCACACCCAGCCACUGAACUGGUGAGGCAGGAAACAAGGAACCUCUUCUGUUACAUAUAAAAUGUUCUUGUAUGAAGACAUCAUGAGGGUUAAUUGAGUCUGACCUGGAAGAAAAUACCUAUAUGUUUAUAUGAAAAGAUCCAGGCUUCACAGUUACCAGUUCUGAGAGUGGGGAGACUUGGUUACCUGCCAUCGUGAGACCCGUUUGGAACCCUGGAACUCUGGGACCCACCGCAGCCACCAGGCCAAGCUCCUCACCCAACCCUUGAAACCAAACCAAAAAGCAGAACAAAUAUGCCUUCCUCCACUUCUUAAACAUGUUUGUAGCGGGAAACUGGAUGCAAAUGAACAGAAUGGCUCAGUAUGGAUAUGGGCAUAUGUUUAUUAAAAAAAAAUAA